rnacentral:lncRNA from 1 species
AGUACCCCACGGGUUCCGAGUUGGAGACAAAGUCUUGGUCAGACGGCAUCGAACCGGCAGCCUCGAGCCACAGUGGAAGGGACCCUAUUUGGUGUUACUGACAACCCCUACUGCGGUAAAAGUUGACGGGAUUGCCUCCUGGAUCCACGCCUCCCACGUCAAGAGGGCCGCCAGUCAAGAUGAAGAAAACCACGAAGACAAUUGGACAGUGGCAGCCACUGACAAUCCUCUUAAGCUUCGUUUGCGCUGCAGGUGCCACCCUGAGCCUAGGGAACCACAACCCUCAUGCUCCAAUUCAACAGUCUUGGGAAGUGCUUAAUGAGGAGGGAAACAUUGUAUGGGCAACCACUGCAGUCCAUCCCCUCUGGACUUGGUGGCCUGAUCUCACACCUGACAUCUGUAAGUUAGCGGCAGGAUCCCCCAAUUGGGACCUCCCCGAUCAUACUGAUCUUAGCAACCCACCCUCUGAACAGCGGUGUGUCCCGGGCGGGAUAGGGAACUCGUAUGGAUGUUCGGGGCAGUUCUACCGAGCUAAUCUUAGAGCUGCACAAUUUUAUGUUUGCCCUGGUCAGGGUCGGAGCAAAAGGCUUCAACAAGAAUGUGGAGGGGCAUCAGAUUACUUUUGUGGUAAAUGGACAUGUGAAACGACAGGGGAAGCUUACUGGAAGCCCUCCUCUGACUGGGACCUAAUCACGGUAAAACGAGGUAGUGGCUAUGAUAAGUCAAACCAAGGAGAAAGAAACCCCUAUAAAUAUCCAGAGAAUGGGUGCGCUUUUAAAAACAGCCCCCCAGGAUCAUGCAAAGGUAAAUACUGCAACCCCCUACUUAUAAAGUUCACCGAGAAAGGGAAACAACACCGUCUGAGUUGGCUUAAAGGAAAUAGGUGGGGUUGGCGGGUAUACAUUCCACUAAGAGACCCUGGGUUCAUUUUCACGAUCAGACUGACAGUGAGAGACCCGGCGGUGACACCCGUAGGGCCCAACAAGGUCCUUAUAGAACAGGGCCCCCCAGUCGUACCGGCUCCCCCAAAGGUCCCGGCCGUACCAGCUCCACCAACUCCACAGCCCAACACGGUGGUACCCUCCCUAGGGACUAAUACUCCCCUCAUAAAGCCUACCUUGGCUUCCCCACCGCCCCUAGAUACAGAGAGCCGUCUGGUCAGCCUAGUCCAGGGAGCUUUUUUAGCUUUAAAUAGGACUAACCCUAAUAUGACUCAAUCAUGCUGGUUAUGCUAUGCCUCUAGCCCCCCUUAUUAUGAAGGAAUAGCUCAGAUCAGGACUUAUAAUAUUACUUCAGAUCAUUCUCAAUGCCUUUGGGGAGAAAACAGAAAGUUGACUCUAGCAGCAGUUUCAGGAAGAGGGCUUUGUCUGGGCCGGGUACCUCAGGAUAAAGGGCAUCUCUGUAAUCAGACCCAGAACAUCCAGUCUAGCAAAAGUGGUCAGUAUCUAGUGCCCCCUCUAGACACAGUGUGGGCUUGCAAUACCAGUCUCACUCCUUGUGUAUCUAUGUCUGUUUUUAAUAGUUCCAAAGAUUUCUGCAUUUUGGUUCAGCUUAUUCCUAGACUCCUGUAUCAUGAUGAUAGCUCCUUUUUAGACAAAUUUGAGCAUCGGGUCCGCUGGAGAAGAGAGCCCGUUACCUUAACUUUGGCAGUUCUAUUAGGAUUGGGAGUAGCAGCUGGAGUAGGUACAGGAACCGCUGCCUUAAUUAAGACCCCCCAAUACUAUGAAGAACUACGUGCAGCUAUGGAUGUUGAUCUUAGAACUAUAGAACAGUCUAUAACCAAAUUAGAAGAAUCUUUAACUUCCCUGUCCGAAGUGGUGCUACAGAAUAGAAGGGGAUUAGACUUAUUAUUCCUUAAAGAAGGAGGACUCUGUGCUGCCCUAAAAGAAGAAUGUUGUUUUUAUGUUGAUCAUUCAGGAGUAAUCAAAGAUUCUAUGGCCAAACUUAGAGAACGCCUAGAUAUACGUAAAAGAGAAAGAGAAAGCCAACAAGGAUG